rnacentral:sRNA from 1 species
GAAAAGAUGGCGAAGGAAAUCAUUGAAUUGUUUAGGUUCCUGCAUGGAAGUUUCAAAAUUAACCAGCUAUUGUUGAUUUUG